rnacentral:tRNA from 1 species
UUACAUUAGGUGUACCUGCACAGAAAAUUUUGAAUUUUCAAGAGAAUCAUUUCAAUGUAAA